AGUGAACGCUGGCGGUAGGCCUAACACAUGCAAGUCGAACGGCAGCACAGUAAGAGCUUGCUCUUACGGGUGGCGAGUGGCGGACGGGUGAGGAAUACAUCGGAAUCUACUUUUUCGUGGGGGAUAACGUAGGGAAACUUACGCUAAUACCGCAUACGACCUACGGGUGAAAGCAGGGGAUCUUCGGACCUUGCGCGAUUGAAUGAGCCGAUGUUGGAUUAGCUAGUUGGCGGGGUAAAGGCCCACCAAGGCGACGAUCCGUAGCUGGUCUGAGAGGAUGAUCAGCCACACUGGAACUGAGACACGGUCCAGACUCCUACGGGAGGCAGCAGUGGGGAAUAUUGGACAAUGGGCGCAAGCCUGAUCCAGCCAUACCGCGUAGGUGAAGAAGGCCUUCGGGUUGUAAAGCCCUUUUGUUGGGAAAGAAAAGCAGCAGGUUAAUACCCCGCUGUUCUGACGGUACCCAAAGAAUAAGCACCGGCUAACUUCGUG
rnacentral:rRNA from 1 species